GGGCUGAGGUCUCUGGGAAGGCAGAGCUGUGGUCUAGAAGAAGAUGAGGCUGCUGGGUCUUCUCUUGUGCCUGCUGACAGCCCCCCAAGGUGUUCUGUCUCAGCUGCAGCUGCAGGAGUCGGGCCCAGGAGUGGUGAAGCCCUCGCAGACCCUCUCCCUCACCUGCUCUGUCUCUGGUUACUCCAUCACAACCAGUGGUUACUGCUGGCAUUGGAUCCGCCAGCCCCCAGGGAAGAGGCUGGAGUGGAUUGCGAUUAUAUGUUAUGAUGGGAGCACUAACUACAGCCCCUCCUUCAAGAGCCAAACCUCCAUCACCCGAGAGACAUCCAAGAACCAGUUCUCCCUGCAGCUGAGCUCGGUAACCACUGAGGACAUGGCCAUGUAUUACUGUAACCUGGUCCCAGGAGACGUGUCCCAACACCAGUCCCGCUUCCCCUGGGGAACCACCAGCAUCCUGAGAACCUGUUGA